rnacentral:rRNA from 1 species
AGCAGCCGCGGUAAUUCCAGCUCCAAUAGCGUAUAUUAAAGUUGCUGCAGUUAAAAAGCUCGUAGUUGAAUUUCGGGACCAAUAUGUCGGUCGUGCCUCGGUACGUACUGGCAUCGUUGGUUUCUCCCUUCUGACGAACCAUGAUGUCAUUUAUUUGGUGUCGUGGGGAAUCAGGACUGUUACUUUGAAAAAUUAGAGUGUUUAAAGCAGGCUCACGCUUGAAUACAUUAGCAUGGAAUAAUGAAAUAGGACGUUUGAUUCUAUUUUGUUGGUUUCUAGGAUCGACGUAAUGAUUAAUAGGGAUAGUUGGGGGCAUUAGUAUUCAAUUGUCAGAGGUGAAAUUCUUGGAUUUAUUGAAGACUAACUACUGCGAAAGCAUUUGCCAAGGAUGUUUUCAUUAAUCAAGAACGAAAGUUAGGGGAUCGAAGACGAUCAGAUACCGUCGUAGUCUUAACCUUAAACUAUGCCGACUAGGGAUCGGAUGAUGUUAAUUUUUUAAUGACUCAUUCGGCGCCUUAAC